CACGUAGGGCGCAAGCGUUGUCCGGAAUUAUUGGGCGUAAAGAGCGUGUAGGCGGCCACUUAAGUCCUGCGUGAAAUCUUGCGGCUCAACCGCAAGCGGUCGUGGGAAACUGGGUGGCUAGAGUGCGGGAGAGGAGAGUGGAAUUCCUGGUGUAGCGGUGGAAUGCGCAGAUAUCAGGAAGAACACCCGUGGCGAAGGCGGCUCUCUGGAACGCAACUGACGCUGAGACGCGAAAGCGUGGGGAGCAAACAGG
rnacentral:rRNA from 1 species